rnacentral:rRNA from 1 species
GGUAGUCCACGCCGUAAACGUUGGGCACUAGGUGUGGGGACCUAUCGACGGUCUCCGUGCCGUAGCUAACGCAUUAAGUGCCCCGCUUGGGGAGUACGGCCGCAAGGCUAAAACUCAAAGAAAUUGACGGGGGCCCGCACAAGCGGCGGAGCAUGUUGCUUAAUUCGAUGCGACGCGAAGAACCUCACCUGGGUUGAACUACGCCGGAAAAGCCGUAGAGAUACGGUGUCCGUAAGGGCCGGCGAUAGGUGGUGCAUGGGCUGUCGUCAGCUCGUGUCGUGAGAUGUUGGGGUUAAG